UGAUCAGCCACACUGGAACUGAGACACGGUCCAGACUCCUACGGGAGGCAGCAGUGGGGAAUAUUGCACAAUGGGCGCAAGCCUGAUGCAGCCAUGCCGCGUGUAUGAAGAAGGCCUUCGGGUUGUAAAGUACUUUCAGUGGCGAGGAAGGUUAUGUAUUUAAUAGAUGCGUAGCUUGACGUUAGCCACAGAAGAAGCACCGGCUAACUCCGUGCCAGCAGCCGCGGUAAUACGGAGGGUGCGAGCGUUAAUCGGAAUUACUGGGCGUAAAGCGCAUGCAGGUGGUCUGUUAAGUCAGAUGUGAAAGCCCGGGGCUUAACCUCGGAAUAGCAUUUGAAACUGUCAGACUAGAGUACUGUAGAGGGGGGUAGAAUUUCAGGUGUAGCGGUGAAAUGCGUAGAGAUCUGAAGGAAUACCGGUGGCGAAGGCGGCCCCCUGGACAGAUACUGACACUCAGAUGCGAAAGCGUGGGGAGCAAACAGGAUUAGAUACCCUGGUAGUCCACGCCGCAAACGAUGUCUACUUGGAGGUUGUGGCCUUGAGCCGUGGCUUUCGGAGCUAACGCGUUAAGUAGACCGCCUGGGGAGUACGGUCGCAAGAUUAAAACUCAAAUGAAUUGACGGGGGCCCGCACAAGCGGUGGAGCAUGUGGUUUAAUUCGAUGCAACGCGAAGAACCUUACCUACUCUUGACAUCUACAGAAGCUUGCGGAGACGCGAGUGUGCCUUCGGGAACUGUAAGACAGGUGCUGCAUGGCUGUCGUCAGCUCGUGUCGUGAAAUGUUGGGUUAAGUCCCGCAACGAGCGCAACCCUUAUCCUUGUUUGCCAGCACGUAAUGGUGGGAACUCCAGGGAGACUGCCGGUGAUAAACCGGAGGAAGGUGGGGACGACGUCAAGUCAUCAUGGCCCUUACGAGUAGGGCUACACACGUGCUACAAUGGCACAUACAGAGGGCAGCCAACUUGCAAAAGUGAGCGAAUCCCAAAAAGUGUGUCGUAGUCCGGAUCGGAGUCUGCAACUCGACUCCGUGAAGUCGGAAUCGCUAGUAAUCGUGGAUCAGAAUGCCACGGUGAAUACGUUCCCGGGCCUUGUACACACCGCCCGUCACACCAUGGGAGUGGGCUGCAAAAGAAGUAGGUAGUUUAACCUUCGGGGGGACGCUUACCACUUUGUGGUUCAUGACUGGGGUGAAGUCGAAACAAGGUA
rnacentral:rRNA from 1 species